ensembl:snRNA U6 U6 spliceosomal RNA
GUGCUUGCUUUGGUAGUGCAUAUAUUAAAAUUGGACUGACACAGAGAAGAUUAGCAUGGCCUCUGUGCAAGGAUGAUACACAAAUUUGUGAAGCAUUCUACAUUUUU